rnacentral:rRNA from 1 species
GUGCCAGCAGCCGCGGUAAAACGUAGGAGCCUAGCGUUAUCCGAAUUUACUGGGCGUAAAGCGCGUGCAGGCGGCUUGGUAAGUUGGCUGUGAAAUCUCCCGGCUCAACUGGGAGGGGACGGUCAAGACUGCCAGGCUGGAGGCAGGGAGAGGGAGGUGGAAUUCCCGGUGUAGUGGUGAAAUGCGUAGAGAUCGGGAGGAACACCAGUGGCGAAAGCGGCCUCCUGGCCCUGACCUGACGCUGAGACGCGAAAGCUAGGGGAGCGAACGGGAUUAGAAACCCCCGUAGUCC